CCCUCUGCUGUAGAGAAGUCUCAGGAAAUUGGCAGAAAAGAGCUUCAGGGGAUAGAGACUUGUUUGCUGAGCGGUGAUGUUGUUGCAGACAUAUACUGAGGACUUCAAACCUGGGAGGCAUCUCAAGUAACCCUGAGAAAACUGCUCCAAGGAGUAAGAAGCUGAUAGCCAGAUGUCUUUUCAACAUUGCUUGUUAUUCUUAGCUAGAUCUUCAUAUUUAUUAG